UUUAUGAAAUCAUUUUCUGAAAUUUUUCAAAUUUUUUUGGUUUUUUCUAUGCCUUAGAUGAGUGCAGACUCAAAAUUAUACACAAUGCAACACACACUUCCUGAGCCCUCCCCCAAACUUAAAUCACACAGUCCACUGUGUGAAUAAACUUGGAAGAGAGUACUCAGGACAAAUCCAAUCACAGAAACAAAAAAUGAAGAAACAAAUCACAACAGACGGUAUAAUACAACGGUGAAGUGAGGCGCUUACCUCAGUCGAAGAAUGAACGUAGUUGCUCGUCAAUGGCUGCCUGCGAUUGCUCCCAGGCCAUAGACGAACCUCCUUGUUCUGUAUCAGCUCCAGCAGAUGGGUACUCGACCUCAUCAGCUCUGUGGCGGCCAGCACCACUCUGAGGAAACUCGACCUCUCUCCUUCUGCUGCGGCCAGCACCGCGGUCGCGUAAACUACGAGACUGCAGAAGUCGUCCGCUCCUACUGCUAGAUCGAGUGAGUGUGGUCCUCCUCUUCCUCCCAGAUUCACGAGGCUCGAAUGAUGAAUGCCUCGCAGGGACAUGCGGGAUCUCCUGCUCUCUAGGCUCAGGCCUGCGCCGACUUGGCUCGGGCGCGUCAUAUCUCCUCGAAGGCAUGUCCUGAGGGAGAUGUCCUUGCGGAAUAGCUGUAGUGGAAGAGGAGCAGCUGAGCUUGUCCUUCAGAAACUUGAUAGCCCUUAAGCACUUGGCGAGUAACUUGUCCUGUUUCUUGCACCACUUCUGCAGCUUGCUGUUGUUCCUGUGAGCUUCACUCAAACUCUUGCUUUUCCUCGCAGGAGGUAUAUGCUCACUGAAAUGAUACAUGCUCGUGUCAAACUCCGCUUCAUCUAUAUCAUCCGUCUCAUCAACAUCUUCUGUUGUAGCUCCUUCGGUGUGACUAAACUCCUCGGUUGGCGGACUGCCCUCGAAAUAAAGAUCUUCAAGCGCAGGCUUGAAGUCAAUGUUCCUGCCCUCAAGAAUCCUAGUAGCGUCAAUGCAGGGGAGAAGAAUGUUGGCGAUUCUAAUCGAUGAAUGCUCGAACCUGUAGCGGUGAAAGUCGCCAGCCAUGUCAAACUCCAAGAACUCACAUCUGCGCAAAUGAUCCAAGUCCAUCAUCCUCGGUGCUAAACCUGGUUCCUUGAGCGGGACUCCACAAGCUUCCAGAAUUGGCGUCACAACGCCACCUACGCAUAGUGCUCCUCUCACCUUCUUCUUCCGGUUUGUCAACGCCCACUUCCUAUAUCCACACAGAUGCAUCAACAGAGGCAUUACUGGUGGUGCGUUGUUGAGAUCACCUCUCAAGACAUUCUUCCCCUUUGUCCGGCGGAGAAUCCCUGUAAGCGCAUAAUCUAUCAUCUCCAUGUCCGUGUUAGACACGGUGCCUGUAGACUCCCUGGAGUAAAAAACGUUGGCGACCGAUCGCUGGAAGUAGCGGAUCACAGGACUUCGGAUUUGGUUGCUCUUGGACCGCGCCGAGUUUAGCGGUAGAUUGUUCCCUAUAGUGGCCCAUAAAUCCUUAAGCUCCUUUCUGUCAAAUCUGGGUUUGGUUCCCUUUCCACUAGGGAAACCAAACAGUUCUUCUAACUUCUUGAUCGAAAGCUGAUACCGCUGUUCAUUCACUGAGAACGUCAAGAAGCCUAAUCCCAUGGUAUCCAGCUCAAAGUCUGUGAGUGCUUCAUACAUCUCCACUUGCAGCGUGGAGAGAAACUCGAUUGUCUCCUCCUUAUAGGAAUGGUAAGGGUAAGACAUGAGUGUCUCCAGAUGACACUUCUCGAACAAAUGCUGUACGUCCUCCAGUAACCCCAGCUGGGCUAAAGUCUCAUAACACGGAUACCUCGUUCCCCAGAAGUCAUUCAUCUUGAAGAAUCUGAUAUACUCCUCCACUGUAACCUCGUCGGGUUUGUUCAGCAGCUUCGUCUCCCUGCGCCAUGACUCUGGCUCAUACUCAGUCUCGAUAUCCUCAUCAAUCAGCUCAUACCUACUUGACAUCGCCCUCUUUCCUCUGGCGAUUUCAGCUCUUCUCUGAUUAUGUCAGUCUGUAGAGCGUUCGAGUUCGUCCCUGAAACUCUGGUAAACAUGUUGCUCUCUCGGUCUAGCGGACCAGGACUCAGCUUCAUCCACGUUGUAAUCAGGGUCCAUAGAUGAUUCUCCACUAUAGUUACUCAUGAUGAAACCUUGAAACAAAUGUAACUCAAAAAUAAACGUUAAUACGUUAGUUCCAACAAAACUAAAAACACAAACCAAUAGAGUAAACCGGUCGAGUGUACCAAAAAUUCUUAAAAAAUUU
rnacentral:sRNA from 1 species